rnacentral:lncRNA from 1 species
UUGUUUCUCAAUUUACUCAGGUCUUCUUUUAUAUGUGUUAACACUGAAGAAUUAUCCUGGCCAAGGGCAGAUGCAUUUCUAUGUUGAUGUCCCAGCAUACGGUCCAGGGACUUCUGGGGGUCCCUGACACCUUUUCAGAGCUGAGUGGAUGAGGAAAAAGUGGUACUGAUGUCUGAAGGGGUUCACUCUGCCAGGAGGGAAGAUACGCUUGAGGCAUUUCUGGGCAAAUGGAUGCAACUUGCGAACACAAUGCUAAGUGGAAUAAAUCAAGCCCACCGGCUUGGAAACUGCCGCUUUCCUCACAGGAGAAACUCAAACGCGAGCGUCACUAAAGUGGAAAUGUACUAA